rnacentral:rRNA from 1 species
UACGUAGGGUGCAAGCGUUAAUCGGAAUUACUGGGCGUAAAGCGUACGCAGGCGGUUGUGCAAGACAGAUGUGAAAUCCCCGGGCUCAACCUGGGAAUUGCAUUUGUGACUGCACGGCUAGAGUGUGUCAGAGGGGGGUAGAAUUCCACGUGUAGCAGUGAAAUGCGUAGAGAUGAUGGAGGAAUACCGAGUGGCGAAGGCAGCCCCCUGGGAUAACACUGACGCUCAUGCACGAAAGCGUGGGGAGCAAACAGG